rnacentral:rRNA from 1 species
CUACGGGUGGCUCCAGUGGGGAAUAUUGCACAAUGGGCGCAAGCCUGAUGCAGCCAUGCCGCGUGUAUGAAGAAGGCCUUCGGGUUGUAAAGUACUUUCAGCGGGGAGGAAGGGAGUAAAGUUAAUACCUUUGCUCAUUGACGUUACCCGCAGAAGAAGCACCGGCUAACUCCGUGCCAGCAGCCGCGGUAAUACGGAGGGUGCAAGCGUUAAUCGGAAUUACUGGGCGUAAAGCGCACGCAGGCGGUUUGUUAAGUCAGAUGUGAAAUCCCCGGGCUCAACCUGGGAAAUGCAUCUGAGACUGGCAAGCUUGAGUCUCGUAGAGGGGGGUAGAAUUCCAGGUGUAGCGGUGAAAUGCGUAGAGAUCUGGAGGAAUACCGGUGGCGAAGGCGGCCCCCUGGACGAAGACUGACGCUCAGGUGCGAAAGCGUGGGGAGCAAACAGGAUUAGAUACCCCGGUAGUC